UGGAUCCAGACUUUGAUUCUGGCUCAGGAUGAACGCUGGCGGCGUGCUUAACACAUGCAAGUCGAACGGAGUUAUCAUUAUCGAAGCGAUUAGUUUACUAAGAGCAGAGAUGUUGGUAACUUAGUGGCGGACGGGUGAGUAACGCGUGGGUAACCUGCCUUACACAGGGGGAUAACACUUAGAAAUAGGUGCUAAUACCGCAUAAGCGCACGGAUUCGCAUGAAUCAGUGUGAAAAACUCCGGUGGUGUAAGAUGGACCCGCGUCUGAUUAGCCAGUUGGCGGGGUAACGGCCCACCAAAGCGACGAUCAGUAGCCGGCCUGAGAGGGUGAACGGCCACAUUGGGACUGAGACACGGCCCAAACUCCUACGGGAGGCAGCAGUGGGGAAUAUUGGACAAUGGGGGGAACCCUGAUCCAGCGACGCCGCGUGAGUGAAGAAGUAUUUCGGUAUGUAAAGCUCUAUCAGCAGGGAAGAAAGAAAUGACGGUACCUGACUUAGAAGCCCCGGCUAACUACGUGCCAGCAGCCGCGGUAAUACGUAGGGGGCAAGCGUUAUCCGGAUUUACUGGGUGUAAAGGGAGCGUAGACGGUAGUGCAAGUCUGAAGUGAAAGGCGGGGGCCCAACCCCCGGACUGCUUUGGAAACUGUGCUGCUAGAGUGCAGGAGAGGUAAGUGGAAUUCCUAGUGUAGCGGUGAAAUGCGUAGAUAUUAGGAGGAACACCAGUGGCGAAGGCGGCUUACUGGACUGUAACUGACGUUGAGGCUCGAAAGCGUGGGGAGCAAACAGGAUUAGAUACCCUGGUAGUCCACGCCGUAAACGAUGAUCACUAGGUGUUGGUGA
rnacentral:rRNA from 1 species